CCUACGGGAGGCUGCAGUGAGGAAUAUUGGUCAAUGGACGAGAGUCUGAACCAGCCAAGUAGCGUGAAGGAUGACUGCCCUAUGGGUUGUAAACUUCUUUUAUAUGGGAAUAAAGUGUUCCACGUGUCGUGCUUUGUAUGUACCUUAUGAAUAAGGAUCGGCUAACUCCGUGCCAGCAGCCGCGGUAAUACGGAGGAUCCGAGCGUUAUCCGGAUUUAUUGGGUUUAAAGGGAGCGUAGGUGGGUUGUUAAGUCAGUUGUGAAAGUUUGCGGCUCAACCGUAAAAUUGCAGUUGAAACUGGCAGUCUUGAGUACAGUAGAGGUAGGCGGAAUUCGUGGUGUAGCGGUGAAAUGCUUAGAUAUCACGAAGAACUCCGAUUGCGAAGGCAGCUCGCUGGACUGCAACUGACGCUGAGGCUCGAAAGUGUGGGUAUCAAACAGGAUUAGAUACCCGUGUAGUC
rnacentral:rRNA from 1 species